AAGGAAGGGAAAGGAACUUUUUUUUUUUUUUUUAAAUUUUGAAAAAAAGAAGAAAAAAAAAGAAA
rnacentral:ribozyme from 1 species